rnacentral:rRNA from 1 species
GAGCGCAACCCUUGUCAUUAGUUGCCAUCAUUUGGUUGGGCACGUCUAAUGGAGACUGCCGGUGACAAACCGGAGGAAGGUGGGGAUGACGUCAAGUCCUCAUGGCCCUUAUGGGUAGGGCUUCACACGUCAUACAAUGGUCGGUACAGAGGGUUGCCAACCCGCGAGGGGGAGCUAAUCCCACAAAGCCGAUCGUAGUCCGGAUCGCAGUCUGCAACUCGACUGCGUGAAGUCGGAAUCGCUAGUAAUCGUGGAUCAGCAUGUCACGGUGAAUACGUUCCCGGGUCCUU